rnacentral:rRNA from 1 species
UGAAUUGACAGGGGCCCGCACAAGCGGUGGAGUAUGUGGUUAAUUCGAUGCAACGCGAAGAACCUUACCUGGUCUUGACAUCCCGGAGACCCUUAGGAAACUAGGGGGUGCUUCCAUCUGGAAGAAUCUGGAGACAGGUGCUGCAUGGCUGUCGUCAGCUCGUGUCGUGAGAUGUUGGGUUAAGUCCCGCAACGAGCGCAACCCUUGCCUUUAGUUGCCAGCAGUUCGGCUGGGCACUCUAAAGGGACUGCCGGUGUUAAACCGGAGGAAGGUGGGGAUGACGUCAAGUCCUCAUGGCCUUUAUGACCAGGGCUACACACGUACUACAAUGGCCGAUACAAAGGGCAGCGACACUGCGAGGUGAAGCCAAUCCCGUAAAAUCGGUCUCAGUCCGGAUUGGAGUCUGCAACUCGACUCCAUGAAGUUGGAAUCGCUAGUAAUCGUGGAUCAGCAUGCCACGGUGAAUACGUUCCCGGGCCUU